UACGGAGGGGGCAAGCGUUGUUCGGAAUCAUUGGGCGUAAAGGGCGCGUAGGCGGCCGAUCAAGUCGGGUGUGAAAUCCCUCGGCUCAACCGAGGAACUGCACUCGAUACUGAUUGGCUCGAGUCCGGGAGGGGAUGGUGGAAUUCCCAGUGUAGCGGUGAAAUGCGUAGAUAUUGGGAAGAACACCGGUGGCGAAGGCGGCCAUCUGGACCGGAACUGACGCUGAGGCGCGGAAAGCCAGGGGAAGCCGGAAGUGGGA
rnacentral:rRNA from 1 species